AAUUAUCCUCAUAAGUUUGGCGAUAAGAGAAACCAUAUAAAAUUAAAUUUUCCAUAAUUUAAGUUAAAUAUAUGGAAUAAUAAAAUCGGAGGCCACGACUGUUUACUAAAAACACAAUUCAGAGCAAUAAUUAAUAUAAUAGUAUUCUGAAUGAAAUUUGCCCAAUGCCAUUAAUAUAAGAGAGGUAAUAUUAAAGUUACUAAUCGAAAGUCUGGUUAAUAGCGGUCUUAACUAUGAGGAUCCUAAGGUAGCAAAAUAAAUUGGCCAUUAAAUGUGGUCUUGUAUCAAUAAUGUAACGAUGGUCUCACUGUCUCUACAACUUGCUCAGUGAAAUUGAAUUGC
rnacentral:rRNA from 1 species